rnacentral:rRNA from 1 species
UACAGAGGGUGCAAGCGUUAAUCGGAAUUACUGGGCGUAAAGCGUGCGUAGACGGUUGCGUAAGUCAGAUGUGAAAGCCCCGGGCUUAACCCUGGGGAAUUGCAUUUGAGACUGCGUAGCUAGGGUGCGGAAGAGGGAAGCGGAAUUUCCGGUGUAGCGGGUGAAAUGCGUAGAUAUCGGGAAGGAACACCAGUGGCGAAAGCGGCUUCCUGGUCCAGCACCGACGUCAGGCACGAAAGCGUGGGGAGCAAACAGG